CGGGGAUUUAAGCGGAUCGACCUGUAGAGCUUCUCAGUGUCUGACACGUCUUUUCCUCUCAGGACUGUCCUCAGUAGACAACUAAACCUCUGCUUCUGGGCAAACGUCACAGCAUCCAGACAAAACGAUACGUGAAGAUGUUUCUAUCAACAGAAAUAUGCCGAUGGCUGGGCUGCAGUCCAGGUCUCCCACUCUCUAACACACAAGCACACACACACACACACACACACGCAAUCACACACUCACACCUAGCCAAUUCCAACACUGCUGUUGCAGUCCAGCUGGCACUGAAAGGGAUGCUUUGAUGUUGGUCGGCAGAAAUUGCACGAAGGGUGUAAGUUGUGAGUGGUUCUGCCUCUAGUAAAUCUAUUUUAGCUACAGUGCUGGAGAUAAUUUGGGGUAAUUCAGAAUAAAAACAUUCAAAUGAAGGCAGAAACUCCUCGGAUCUUUUUUGUAGCAUUGUGUGUGUGUUGUUUGUUUUUUCUGAGGACGGAGCAGAAGAGGUACUUGGUGAAUUAUUGACUGAUUAUCAGUCAUUAAAUGAAAUACGAGAGACAUUUGUAUUUAAAUGCGUUUGAACUCGUUGAACUUGUUGAGGAAAAAACAACUUAAAACGCAUAUGUUACAAAUCCAAAUGAUAAUAAAUUCAAAUGACUCUUAAGACAGCCAACAUGCAUUCAACAAGUGUGCUGUAUAGUCAAUGAUGGCGAUAACUAAUAACUGGUGACAAUUAGAUCAUAUUCAAGACUUGAAAUGAACAAGGGGCCAUUUUGAUUUUUAGAAAUCUGCAAGCGUACAGGUACCCAACAUGGACACAGUUGAUGCAUAAUGACACUUAUUAAAGCAUUGGCCUGGAGUUGUGUGACAAAGGUAUUGUGUAAGAAGUGGACUUAGACGUCUCCCAUUAGUUUGUGAAUAAUGUUUUUUAAAACCUUGAGGUUUGAACAUUUUGAACAAGGCUUCAAUGUUCCAAUUGACCUUCAUGAACUGAUAACACACUAUGAAAGGAUUAAAGAUGUAAGAUGAAAACAGAUAAAUCCCCCACCAGACAACAACGUGGUAGCCUGUCAAUCACAGUCACAGGACAUGCCCUGCUUUACGGUCUAUUACCGUAAUUGCAACCAGAAAUUCCAUACUUAAAGGACUUGAUCUAAAACAACUGAAAUAUACUGCACAGCUCUCUGGACACUUAACAUUUGAGCUCCCUGUCUUCCACAGAGGCUGUAACCAGGCCCGCGUCCCAUAUUCACAACACGGAUUAUUCUUUAUCAUUAAAUCAGAAUGAAUCAGUGAUCAAAGAACCAACUGGCUUUUCACAGCAGGAUUCCUGAACUCAAUCCCAAAUACGAAAGUGCUCUCGGACAUCUGUUGAUGAAACUGAAGAACUACAGCCACAGUCAAACAGAUGUCCAAGGACCAGAGAAUUCCUGCCCUGAUAAGCUGUCAGGAGCAUUGCCUCGUCAAAUUGUGGUGUGUGCGUGCGUGUGUGUGCGUGCGUGCGUGCGUGUGUGUGUGUGUGUGUGUGUGUGUGUGUGUGUGUGUGUGUGUGUGUGUGUGUGUGUGUGCGUGCGUGCAUGCAAUUGGGAAAUGAGUGAGGAGACAAGCCUCAAGGUUACAUGCUAUUAAAACAAGGCUGUAUAAAUUAAUUAAAUAAUUC
ensembl:lncRNA